GUUCCAUCUCCGACAAAUUUUGAAACCAAUCACUUGUCGCGCAAAGUCUCCACCCUCGCCUCUAACAAAUCGCUAGCCCUACUCUUAUUUUUUCUACGGGCUACAUGCAAAAGAUUUUAUUCUUGCCCAAACAGUUGAUCUUUGGUCGCGAGUAGUGCAAGUGUAUUAUAAGUGCAAGAAAUAAGAACAUGUGGGCCGCUUACCGAAGAGAAAUGGAGCUGCAACAGCAGGCCUGUGGAAACAUCGCGGAUAUCAUAAAGGUCCGAUACCCGCAUACUGGGGUAAGUUACAUAUUCAAGAAACAUUGUUUAACGUCUACAUACUUUGUCUUUCAUUUCCUAUUUUAUGUGUUUCAGUAUAUAUGAGUGGGUGACCAGCCCUUAGAAGAAGUGCAAUUAUACCGCGAGGUCGGUAUUAAAUUCGAUCCCUCACCGGUAAGUAUAUACAUUCAUCCGUACAUACUUGCAUACAUACAUACAUUUAUACUAUUGUUGUUGUAUCCUUUUUUCCAGAUUAUAGAUCCAACCAAUAUUAAUAUCAAAGGAUUUAUAAACAUUGAGAACGCGAAGUGGACACGGUGGGAGAGGAAGGGGAAGAGGGUUGAUGUAGAAGACAUUGACAAUCUGUGGACGAGACAGGAUGUCGACGAUGACGACAUAUUCAACCUACGUAAUUUAUAUGGAGAGGAUGAAUGGGCAGAAGAAAAUUGGAACGAUUGGGAUGAUAUCGAAGUUAAUGAUAGCAGUCAAAUGACGAUUGAGGAAGAGUUUCGAAAAAGACAAAGAAACGAGGAAGAUAUAGAAAUGUUGUAUGCACUAAAGAGGGCAAGGAUAGAAGACGAUGAGGAAGACGACGAUGAGAAGGACGAGGACGAGGAU